rnacentral:rRNA from 1 species
GAUGAACGCUGGCGGCAUGCUUUACACAUGCAAGUCGAACGGGAAGUGGUGUUUCCCGUGGCGGACGGGUGAGUAACGCGUAAGAACCUGCCCUUGGGAGGGGAACAACAGCUGGAAACGGCUGCUAGUACCCCGUAGGCUGAGGAGCGAAAGGAGGAAUCCGCCCAAGGAGGGGCUCGCGUCUGAUUCGCUAGUUGGUGAGGUAAUAGCUUACCAAGGCAGUGAUCAGUAGCUGGUCCGAGAGGAUGAUCAGCCACACUGGUACUGAGACAAGGACCAGACUCCUUCGGGCGGCAGGAGUGGGGAAUUUUCCGCAAUGGGCGAUAGCUUGACGAAGCAAUGCCGCGUGGAGGUAAAUGGGCUACGGGUGAUGAACUUCUUUUCCUGGCGAAGAAACAAUGACGGUACCUGGAGAAUAAGCAUCGGCUAACUCCGUG